rnacentral:rRNA from 1 species
GACGAACGCUGGCGGCGUGCUUAACACAUGCAAGUCGAACGGAAAGGCCCUGCUUUUGUGGGGUGCUCGAGUGGCGAACGGGUGAGUAACACGUGAGUAACCUGCCCUUGACUUUGGGAUAACUUCAGGAAACUGGGGCUAAUACCGGAUAGGAGCUCCUGCUGCAUGGUGGGGGUUGGAAAGUUUCGGCGGUUGGGGAUGGACUCGCGGCUUAUCAGCUUGUUGGUGGGGUAGUGGCUUACCAAGGCUUUGACGGGUAGCCGGCCUGAGAGGGUGACCGGCCACAUUGGGACUGAGAUACGGCACAGACUCCUACGGGAGGCAGCAGUGGGGAAUAUUGCACAAUGGGCGGAAGCCUGAUGCAGCCACGCCGCGUGCGGGAUGACGGCAUUCGGGUUGUAAACCGAUUUCGCCUGUGACGAAGCGUGAGUGACGGUAAUGGGUAAAGAAGCACCGGCUAACUACGUG